AUAAUUCUUUAGAAUCCAAUAAUUAAGCUGAGAUGUCGUCAGAAGAGUUGGAGCCGACUCGCUCAAGAUCAUGUGGAUCAAAGAAAAAAUUGAAGAAAAGGGAAGAAGCUUUGUCGUCAGAAGAGUCGGGGCCGACUCGAUCAAGAUCACGUGGAUCAAAAAAAGUAUAAAAUUUCCUAUUCGCAGUAUUUUUUAAGAUAUUACUUCAUGAUGUAUCAUCUUUUUGUAAUUACAUUUUGUACUUAAAAUAAUGUUUUUAUAAUUAUUGUUAUAACCUUUUAGAAUUGAAGAAAAGGGAAGAGGUUUUGU